rnacentral:rRNA from 1 species
UACGUAGGGUGCAAGCGUUGUCCGGAAUUAUUGGGCGUAAAGAGCUCGUAGGCGGUCUGUCGCGUCGGAUGUGAAAAUCCAGGGCUCAACCCUGGACCUGCAUUCGAUACGGGCAGACUAGAGUUCGGCAGGGGAGACUGGAAUUCCUGGUAUAGCGGUGAAAUGCGCAGAUAUCAGGAGGAACACCGGUGGCGAAGGCGGGUCUCUGGGCCGAUACUGACGCUGAGGAGCGAAAGCGUGGGGAGCGAACAGG